AUGGCGGAUGAACCGUCUGCCAAGCGUCCGCGUGGUGAGAUGUCCGACCAGAGCACUGAGGUUGACAAUGUUCAGGUCCCCGGUCAGAAGCACGACUACAAGGUGCACCUCAAAGAGGUUGGUAUCCACGGCAAGGAAAAGCUAGAUGUUGUAUGCACCAGCAAUCCUGACGAAGCCGACAAGAUGAUUAGCAGGAUCCUGAAGAGGGUCUGCGGCUCGUACCCUCAGUUUAUCAGCGUUGAUGUCGAGUAUACCAGGGAGCACGAACCUUCGCAGAGGGCAGCGGUUCUGAAGUUAUGCGUGGAGGAACUGUGUCUGGUAUACCACAUCACCGCUGCAACUAAAUGGUGA
rnacentral:rRNA from 1 species